rnacentral:tRNA from 1 species
GGCCUCGUCGCCAAGUGGUAAGGCAACGGUUUGCAAAACCGUCAUCCCCGGUUCAAAUCCGGGCGAGGCCUC